AACGAACGCUGGCGGCAUGCCUAACACAUGCAAGUCGAACGAGAUCUUCGGGUCUAGUGGCGCACGGGUGCGUAACGCGUGGGAAUCUGCCCUUUGGUUCGGAAUAACAGUUGGAAACGACUGCUAAUACCGGAUGAUGACGAAAGUCCAAAGAUUUAUCGCCAGAGGAUGAGCCCGCGUAGGAUUUGCUAGUUGGUGUGGUAAAGGCGCACCAAGGCGACGAUCCUUAGCUGGUCUGAGAGGAUGAUCAGCCACACUGGGACUGAGACACGGCCCAGACUCCUACGGGAGGCAGCAGUGAGGAAUAUUGGACAAUGGGCGAAAGCCUGAUCCAGCAAUGCCGCGUGAGUGAUGAAGGCCUUAGGGUUGUAAAGCUCUUUUACCCGGGAUGAUAAUGACAGUACCGGGAGAAUAAGCUCCGGCUAACUCCGUGCCAGCCGCCGCGGUAA
rnacentral:rRNA from 1 species